GCACCGCCAGGUGUGGCCCAAAAACAAACAAAAACAAAAAAAAAAGUAGGGGCACCAUCAAGAAUACAAAAAUGAACAUGUUUCCGAGUCCAAGCUCAGGGUCAGAGAUAGUACAGUAAUGAGGGCGCAUGCCUUGCCCCUGGCCAACCUAGCAAUCCAACAGCCCAUAUGGUCUCCUAAGCAUGCUUGAAGUAAGCCCUGGCAUACACACACAUUGUCAGAACCAAAAAAUGUUGGACAUGUAUAACAGAAUGUUAUAUGCUAUGUGCUAAUAAUGGAUUAGUCAUGGCUGGACAAGUGGUUGCUGACUGGCAGUUUGCACUGCUUUGCUCACUUUUUCUCGGGCCCCAAACCAGGAGAUUGGCCUGAAGUAGAUAUGGCCGAUGAUACCAUGGCCAGGACACUGCCCCCACAUUACAGUGCCCUGGAGUUUCUAGCAAAAGCAAGAUAAAAGCCAAGAUUAAUUUAAGGUCACAUAUUUUAUAAUUAGGAUCUAGUGAGUCAGUGACUAGAAAAAUCAGGCACAAGUCAAAAGUAACUAGGAAGAAGCUGUAUGUAUGUAUGUAUGUAUAUAUAUAUAUAUAUGUAUGUAUGUAUGGCUUUGAAUUCCUGUCUUCAAGCCCAUGCCCCCAACAUGCAUGCAAAGUCUGGAAAAGAAUCAGAUGGAACUUUGGGAAAUGAAAUACAUUUACUUAAAAUCAAAACAAAAGCUCUAGUUGUGUUGAAUGUCAUAUUAGACUCAACAGAAGAGACAAUGACUACAUGAGCUGAAUUUAGAGAAAUGAUCCCAUAAUCAAAAAUAAUGAAGGCUGAGAAAAAAAUUUAGAGAGAAUUGCUCAGAAGAGAAAAUGGGGAAAGUCAAUAUUUGAAGCCAACAGAUUUUCCACUUAGGCAAAAAUGUGAUUCACAAAAUUGGGGGAAAGAGAUCUCAAGUAUACAAUAGAUGUAUGUGUAGAUAUGUAAUAGUUCAUUUAUAAACCUAAUAUUGGCUGCAAAAUGCCAAAAACUCAGAGCAGAAGAAUACCCACAAAGGAAGAUAUACUAGAAAGCAAACAGCAAUACUUGUGCUCCUAAAAAAUGGCAAAAUAUUAUCUUCAACAAAAGCCAGUCUGAAAUGUGGACUGUUCGGGUGAAACGAUUUCUUUGCGCUACAGACCUUCGAGAGAACUGCCAAAGAAGAAUCUUGCAGAAGGAAAACAGUUCCAAAGAGUGAUUGGAAAUGAUAAAGCUUGUGAGCAGAUCAGAAGGAUUGGUUUCUUUUUAUUUUUCAUUUAUUUAUUUAGGCUUUUUGGGGCCACACCUGGUGGCGCUCAGGGAUUACUCCUGGCUCUGUGCUCAGAAAUCGCUCCUGGCAUGCUCAAAGGACCUUGUGGGAUGGGAAGAAUUAAAACUGGAUCCGUCCUGGGUUGGCUGCAUUUAAGGCAAAUGCUCUACCGCUGUGCUAUUGCUCCGGCCGCAAAAGUAUUGUUAAUGUAAAAUACCACUUUAUGAAAUGCCAAAUUGUACAUAUAUGUAUAAGGCAAAAAUUAUGUGCCAGUGAGUGAUUAAUGUGGAAAAUAGGAUGUAACUUUAAAAUGACCUGGAAAGUAG